GAUUAACGCUGGCGGCGUGCAUAACACAUGCAAGUCGAACGAUGAAACUUUAAUGAACCCUUCGGGGAGAAUUAAAGCGGAUUAGUGGCGAACGGGUGAGUAACGCGUGAGUAACCUGCCUUACACAAGGGGAUAGCCUUUGGAAACGAAGAAUAAUACCCUAUAAAACCAUAAAAGCACAUGCAAUUAUGGUCAAAGUGAUAGCGGUGUAAGAUGGACUUGCGUCUGAUUAGCUAGUUGGUGAGAUAAAAGCCCACCAAGGCAACGAUCAGUAGCCGGCUUGAGAGAGUGUACGGCCACAUUGGGACUGAGACACGGCCCAGACUCCUACGGGAGGCAGCAGUGGGGAAUUUUGCACAAGGGGGGAAACCCUGAUGCAGCGACGCCGCGUGAUUUAGAAGGCCUUCGGGUUGUAAAAAUCUUUUGUAUAGGAAGAAAAUGACAGUACUAUACGAAUAAGGUCCGGCUAAUUACGUG
rnacentral:rRNA from 1 species